rnacentral:rRNA from 1 species
UACAGAGGUCCCAAGGCGUUGUUCGGAUUCACUGGGCGUAAAGGGUGCGUAGGUGGCCAGGUAAGUUUGGUGUGAAAGCUCGGAGCUUAACUCCGAAAAGUCAUUGAAUGACUAUCGUGGCUGGAGGGUCGGAGGGGAGACUGGGAAUUCUCGGGUGUCAGCAGUGAAAUGCGUAGAUAUCGAGAGGAACACCAGUGGCGAAGGCGAGUCUCUGGACGACUCCUGA